CACGUAGGGCGCAAGCGUUGUCCGGAAUUAUUGGGCGUAAAGAGCGUGUAGGCGGUCAGGUAGGUCCGUUGUGAAAACUCGAGGCUCAACCUCGAGACGCCGAUGGAAACCAUCUGACUAGAGUCCGGAAGAGGAGAGUGGAAUUCCUGGUGUAGCGGUGAAAUGCGCAGAUAUCAGGAGGAACACCAAUGGCGAAGGCAGCACUCUGGGACGUGACUGACGCUGAGACGCGAAAGCGUGGGGAGCAAACAGG
rnacentral:rRNA from 1 species